GUGUUGUUUGUGAAAUGUGUGUGGAGAUGGGUGAUGGCUCGUCUACUGCAAACCAACUACCUACAGGUACAAAUAAAGCAAACCUGAACCUGAUAUUUAUCAAAUCAUGCAAAUGCCAGACUUUUGGGGGCGGGGAGGGAGUCACUCAUGUCCCCCUGGCCUUCCAUCCGCUUUGAAUUUCUUCCUCCCUUUUCACUCGUCUUUUCAGUGCACCCUCUCAUUCUCUCCAUCUCUCUCUCUCACUCUCUCCCUCUCUUUCUCCCUCUCUCUCUCUCUCAUUCUUCCUUUUCACUCAUCUUUUCACUGCACCCUCUCAUUUCCCUCUCCUCUCCUUCACGUCCUUCUUUCUCAGACGGCACCCUUUUUUUGCUUUGAUUGUUUUUAUAUUUUGACCAUUAUAAUUUACUCACUAUCUCUCUCUCUCCCUUUCUCUCUCCCUCUCUCUCUCUCCCUCUUUCUCUCUCUCUCUCUUUCUCUCUCUCUCCCUCUUUCUAUCUCUCUCUCUCUCUCCCUCUUUCCCUCUCUCUAUCUCUCUCUCUCUCUCCCUCUCUUUCUCAAUUUCUCUCCCUCUCUCUAUCUCUAUCUCUAUCUCUCUCUGUGUGUGUGUUUAAUGCUUUCUGUGUGCCUCAUGUCAUGUCAUGUCUCCGUCCUCUUUCAUCGGCCAUCGAUCCCCCCCUCCUCUUCCUCCACCCUCCUCUCGUUCUGUCUGUCUCACUGUAGUAAUGAGCGGCUGGUCUUCCUCCACCCUCCUCUUCCUCUACCCUCCUCUCGUUCUGUCUGUCUCACUGUAGUAAUGAGCCGCUGGUCUUCCUCCACCCUCCUCUUCCUCCACCCUCCUCUUCCUCCACCCUCCUCUCGUUCUGUCUGUCUCACUGUAGUAAUGAGCGGCUGGUCUUCCUCCACCCUCCUCUUCCUCCACCCUCCUCUCGUUCUGUCUGUCUCACUGUAGUAAUGAGCGGCUGGUCUUCCUCCACCCUCCUCUUCCUCCACCCUCCUCUCGUUCUGUCUGUCUCACUGUAGUAAUGAGCGGCUGGUGAAGGUGUGUCUGGCCUGAGGUAAAGCAAGUCUAAGCCAGAAAGUUAAUGAGUACAGCGACCUCUGUGUGUGCCUUGAGUGAAACGAGCAGAGUUGCAAAGAAAGAGAGAGAGACAGAGCAAGAGAGGGAGAGGGAG
rnacentral:lncRNA from 1 species